CGGGGCCAGGGGGGAUGGGCAUGGUGGGGAACGAAGAAAUGGGAUUUCGAGAAUGAUGCCUCAAUCUGCUCCAGACGGCAGCAGCAGAAAACAAGA
rnacentral:SRP_RNA from 1 species